GAUGAACGCUGGCGGCGUGCCUAAUACAUGCAAGUCGAGCGAACAGACGAGGAGCUUGCUCCUCUGACGUUAGCGGCGGACGGGUGAGUAACACGUGGAUAACCUACCUAUAAGACUGGGAUAACUUCGGGAAACCGGAGCUAAUACCGGAUAAUAUAUUGAACCGCAUGGUUCAAUAGUGAAAGACGGUUUUGCUGUCACUUAUAGAUGGAUCCGCGCCGCAUUAGCUAGUUGGUAAGGUAACGGCUUACCAAGGCAACGAUGCGUAGCCGACCUGAGAGGGUGGUAGGCCACCCGGGAGCUGAGACACGGUCCAGACUCCUAAGGGAGGCAGCAGUAGGGAAUCUUCCGCAAUGGGCGAAAGCUUGACGGAGCAACGCCGCGUGAGUUAUGAAGGUCUUCGGAUCGUAAAACUCUGUUAUUAGGGAAGAACAAAUGUGUAAGUAACUAUGCACGUCUUGACGGUACCUAAUCAGAAAGCCACGGCUAACUACGUG
rnacentral:rRNA from 1 species